rnacentral:rRNA from 1 species
AGUGAACGCUGGCGGUAGGCCUAACACAUGCAAGUCGAACGGCAGCACAGUAAGAGCUUGCUCUUACGGGUGGCGAGUGGCGGACGGGUGAGGAAUACAUCGGAAUCUACUUUUUCGUGGGGGAUAACGUAGGGAAACUUACGCUAAUACCGCAUACGACCUACGGGUGAAAGCAGGGGAUCUUCGGACCUUGCGCGAUUGAAUGAGCCGAUGCCGGAUUAGCUAGUUGGCGGGGUAAAGGCCCACCAGGGCGACGAUCCGUAACUGGUCUGAGAGGAUGAUCGACCACACUGGAACUACGACACGGACCACACUCCUACGGGAGGCAGCAGUGGGGAGGAUUGGACAAUGGGCGCAAGCCUGAUCCAGCCAUACCGCGUGGGUGAAGAAGGCCUUCGGGUUUUAAAGCCCUUUUGUUGGGAAAGAAAAGCAGCAGGUUAAUACCCCGCUGUUCUGACGGUACCCAAAGAAUAAGCACCGGCUAACUUCGUG